rnacentral:piRNA from 1 species
GUGAUGAACUUUCCNGCAGGAGGACAGGGC